rnacentral:rRNA from 1 species
AACGAACGCUGGCGGCAGGCUUAACACAUGCAAGUCGAACGCCCCGCAAGGGGAGUGGCAGACGGGUGAGUAACACGUGGGGAUCUGCCCAAUGGUACGGAAUAAUUCCGGGAAACUGGGACUAAUACCGUAUGUGCCCUUCGGGGGAAAGAUUUAUCGCCAUUGGAUGAACCCGCGUCGGAUUAGCUAGUUGGUGAGGUAAAGGCUCACCAAGGCGACGAUCCGUAGCUGGUCUGAGAGGAUGAUCAGCCACACUGGGACUGAGACACGGCCCAGACUCCUACGGGAGGCAGCAGUGGGGAAUAUUGGACAAUGGGCGCAAGCCUGAUCCAGCCAUGCCGCGUGAGUGAUGAAGGCCUUAGGGUUGUAAAGCUCUUUCGCCGACGAAGAUAAUGACGGUAGUCGGAGAAGAAGCCCCGGCUAACUUCGUGCCAGCCGCCGCGGUAAUAC